rnacentral:pre_miRNA from 1 species
AGUGGGAUUGUUGGGUUGAAUGGUAAGGAUCUGGUCAGCUUUAUAAGAAAUUGCAAAGCUGCUUUACAAAGUGACUGUACCAUUUUUGCAUUCCCAUCAGCAAU